GAUGAAGAACGUAGCGAAAUGCGAUAAGUAAUGUGAAUUGCAGAAUUCAGUGAAUCAUCGAAUCUUUGAACGCACACUGCGCCCUUUGGUAUUCCAAAGGGCAUGCCUGUUCGAGCGUCAUUUGUACCCUCAAGCUUUGCUUGGUGUUGGGCGUCUUGUCUCUAGCUUUGCUGGAGACUCGCCUUAAAGUAAUUGGCAGCCGGCCUACUGGUUUCGGAGCGCAGCACAAGUCGCACUCUCUAUCAGCAAAGGUCUAGCAUCCAUUAAGCCUUUUUUUCAACUUUUGACCUCGGAUCAGGUAGGGAUACCCGCUGAACUUAAGCAUAUCAAUAAGCGGAGGA
rnacentral:misc_RNA from 1 species